rnacentral:rRNA from 1 species
GUGGGGAAUCUUGCGCAAUGGGCGAAAGCCUGACGCAGCCAUGCCGCGUGAAUGAUGAAGGUCUUAGGAUUGUAAAAUUCUUUCACCGGGGACGAUAAUGACGGUACCCGGAGAAGAAGCCCCGGCUAACUUCGUGCCAGCAGCCGCGGUAAUACGAAGGGGGCUAGCGUUGCUCGGAAUUACUGGGCGUAAAGGGCGCGUAGGCGGAUCGUUAAGUCAGGGGUGAAAGCCCAGGGCUCAACCUUGGAAUUGCCUUUGAUACUGGCUGUCUUGAGUACGGGAGAGGUGAGUGCAACUCCGAGUGUAGAGGUGAAAUUCGUAGAUAUUCGGAAGAACACCAGUGGCGAAGGCGACUCACUGGCCCGUUACUGACGCUGAGGCGCGAAAGCGUGGGGAGCAAACAGGAUUAGAAACCCGGGUAGUCC